rnacentral:lncRNA from 1 species
GGGAGAAGAAAAAAAGAGAGAGAAUAGAGAAGAGAGAGAGAAGAAGAAGAAGAAGAAGAAAGAGAUGGGAUAUUCACCCUUUUCUACUCACGGGAAAUCAAAAAUAAAAGAGAGAGAGGGAAGAGGAGGAAGAAGAGAAAACCCACAAUUUCAUAUCUUCUUCAUCCUUAAUCAUUCCAUGAUCACCAUAUUUAUCUCCAUCCAUUAAAAUAUCCAAGAAGCUAGUGAGAGAAUCAAGUGGGUGUAAUGGAAAAGCUUGAGGAAAUUAAAAAGGUAUGUUUAAAAAUCUUUGAUUUAUUCUUAGAUUUAAGUUUUAUGGAUUUUACGUAAAGAGUACAUACUUAUGUAUGUAUUGAAUGAUUUAAACUUGUAUAAACAUGAGUCAAGUUAGAGAAAUCUAGAAAUCAAAAGAAGAACAAAAUAUGGAGAUUUUCAGAAAAAUUAGUUUACUACUUGAAUUUGUAAAAUCCAUAACUCUUUGUGUAUAAUGAGUUAGGAGAUGAGCAAUAUAUCAAAAGAAAUCCCUAGAAGUCAGCUAACUACAAAAAUUGG